rnacentral:rRNA from 1 species
UGGGGAAUCUUGGACAAUGGGCGCAAGCCUGAUCCAGCCAUGCCGCGUGAGUGAAGAAGGCCUUCGGGUUGUAAAGCUCUUUUACCAGGGACGAUAAUGACGGUACCUGGAGAAUAAGCCCCGGCAAACUUCGUGCCAGCAGCCGCGGUAAUACGAAGGGGGCUAGCGUUGUUCGGAAUUACUGGGCGUAAAGCGCACGUAGGCGGAUUGUUAAGUCAGAGGUGAAAUCCCGGAGCUCAACUUCGGAACUGCCUUUGAUACUGGCAAUCUCGAGUCCGGAAGAGGUUAGUGGAAUUCCCAGUGUAGAGGUGAAAUUCGUAGAUAUUGGGAAGAACACCAGUGGCGAAGGCGGCUAACAGGUCCGGUACUGACGCUGAGGUGCGAAAGCGUGGGGAGCAAACAGGAUUAGAUACCCCCGUAGUCCCUGAGCGGGCUGGCAAGGCGCAU